GACGAACGCUGGCGGCGCGCCUAACACAUGCAAGUCGAACGGAGCUGAGAGAAGCUUGCUUUUCUUAGCUUAGUGGCGAACGGGUGAGUAACGCGUGAGUAACCUGCCCUGGAGUGGGGGACAACAGUUGGAAACGACUGCUAAUACCGCAUAAGCCCACGAUCCGGCAUCGGAUUGAGGGAAAAGGAUUUAUUCGCUUCAGGAUGGACUCGCGUCCAAUUAGCUAGUUGGUGAGGUAACGGCCCACCAAGGCGACGAUUGGUAGCCGGACUGAGAGGUUGCAGGGCCAAGGUGGGGGGGAGACACGGCGCAGACACGGAGGGGGAGCAGAGGUGGGUGAGAGGGCAGAAGGGGGGAAAGCGUGAGAGAGGGAGGCGGGGUGGAGAAAGAAGGUAUGCAGGUUGAACACGCAGGUGGUUAGGGACGAUAAGGACGGAACAUAAAAAAAAAGCCCCGGCGAACGACGUGCAAGCGGCCGCGGUAAUAAUAGGAAGAGCACAGGAAUGAAC
rnacentral:rRNA from 1 species